rnacentral:lncRNA from 1 species
AAAACCUCCUGAAACCUAGGUCUGGCCUUCAGGGAAUCUGAUUCCUUGGUCUGGGGUAUGGCCCGGGCAUCUCCUGAAGCUCACCAGGUCACACAGAGGUGUAGCCCCAGCUGGGAACCACUGACCCAGACUCAGUUCCUGAAUUUCUGUGACCGCUUCCAUGGCAGCCCCUCUCAGGCCCCUGGUGUGAGGUCUUUCUUUUGCUUCUGGCUUCUGAGAGUUUCCUUUCCUGAUUCCAGGCUGGGCUCGGUUUUGUCUGGUGGGUUUUUUUGCCACUGCCGUUGUGUUAGUGGCAUCCAGGUCUCCGGAUUACUGCAUGCUUGCAGUGGGAGGAAAGGCCUGUCUACCAUGUUCUCUGCCUCCCCUUCAUGUUCUGUGAGGAGAGGGGCCUUGUCUGGCAUGUUCACCGAGGCAUUCCUGACCACUAGAACUGUGCUUGGCACAGAGUAGGCACUUAAUAAACUCCUGCUGCAUGAACAAAAGAACAAGUGUGGAUGCUUCAAAGGAAGACUUGCACCCGGCUGACCCCCAGAGUGGGGAAGGGGUCCCACCUAAUAGGAAGAACACCAAGACUUCCCCAAGAGGAGAAGGAACGGCUCCCCCUUUCUCGGCGAGGCCAUGUGUCUGGACCCUGUGUGAGAUGCUUUCUAUACUAGCCCUUGUUGGGGUGUUGCACCCAUUUUACAGAUCAAACAACCAAGUUUAUCAGAAAUUAAAGACUCAUUUAAGAUGCCAAAGCUCACGAGUGGAUGGUUUGAUGCUGAAGCCAACAUUGUUAACACCAUCUCAGCUCAAAAGCCCUGAAGGCCACUUAAUUCUACCAACCUUCAACCAUCUUGUCAUAAGACACAUCCUCGACCCAAAGCAGAUAUUCUGUGUAGCUGAUGUGUGUACAGAUUGCAAAUUCAAUUGCGGAAGCAUAGAGAGGCACCAGAAGAGGCAUCUUAUGAGAGUCAGCCAGGACUGGUAAUGAGCAAACCAUCACCUUGAAUAGCCUCUGAGAGGGAACAUUUAAUAAGAUACAGAAACCAGAUUUGCUUGAGCUGAAUGCUGGAUCGCCAUGGCAACCUUCCUUUGGAGGUUAUCCAAGUCAGGUAGUGACAGCAAAGCUGAGUUAAAGGUCACCCCUGCUGAGAAAGAUGGGCAUUGAUAAAGGAUUUUAACAAGACCCAGAGGAGCUGGUAUUUGGAAGCUACCUACAGAGGAUCGACGAGGCCCUAGGAAUGGGUGGCAAACAACAUCAGGAAGAGGGGGGCAUCCUGCAGGGGCUCCCACCAGAGCCCCGACCUCGCCCUUCAGAUCGGGAGCUCCAGCCUUCACCAGAAGCUGAGAUUGGAGCUGUUCGUAAUUGUUCAAUGGAAGGGGGAACAACCAUUUUAACCAGGCAUCCAGAUGGGAAAGAAAUACACUUAUGCCACUCUACACCCAAGACACGCAUUCCUGAAAAGUUCUGAACAAGCCAAAUGCUUGCAAAUGGAACGGGCUUGACCUUCUUUAUCACUCCAGAAAUGCUUUAUUUAAUCUUUUUUCUAUUGGAGCAUCACUUUAAAACCUCAAAGUUGAGAAGGCUUUUCUUUGCAUGAUGCUGAAGCCAGAAGCCUUCAAGGAAACAACAUAAAUAUAAAUAUCUCUGUGGCCAGUCUCUACAAAAAUACAUAAAAAUGAAUUUUAAGCAUAAUAAAAUGUGAAAAAUUGCCCAACUUUCCUCACAAAUGAGUAAAAGCCAAUUUAAAUGAUAAGAAAUGAAUAAAUGCAUAUUAAAGC